UGGCCGCCUGCUGAGCUGGCUGGCUGAGCUGAGCCCGACCGCGUGCUGAGCUGCCGGCGGCGGGCUCAGCCAGCCUCCUCCCGCACGGUGGUUGACUGCGCGGCAUCUGAUGACGUCACCGCUCCUGUGACGUCCGUGGCCGAGAGCUCAGCGAGCUGGCAGCGGGCCGAUGUCCGGCGGAGACGUGACCGGACGCCGCUGGUGGUCCGCGCCUGCUCACACCUGGUCUGACCCAAGUCGGUUUUCGUUAGAAGAUGUGUGCUUCAUAUCGCUAUAAGCAAAGGUAAUAGGUAUAUAUAUAUAUAUAUAUAUAUAUAUAUAUAUAUAUAUACACGAAGCACAUUUCUUCACUUGAUACUAAGGGCAAAAUAAAUUUUGGUGCGAUGUGCAGUCGGCAACCUGCCGCGUUUGCAUGCAAUUUCCGUUAUAUCCACUCUAGCGGCAUCUUCCAGACGCUGUCAAUGGAUACAAAAGUAAUGUGUUACCAGUAUGUCGAGCUACCGCCUGUAACAUGUGUUUUAAUACACUGAGUCAGAACAUG